GUCCAGUCUGGGGUGAAAUCCCACGGCUCAACCGUGGAAUUGCCUCAGAUACUGACGACCUCGAGGGAGGUAGGGGCGAGCGGAACUGUGGGUGGAGCGGUGAAAUGCGUUGAUAUCCACAGGAACUCCGGUGGCGAAGGCGGCUCGCUGGACCUCUUCUGACGCUGAGGCACGAAAGCUAGGGGAGCAAACGGGAUUAGAUACCCCGGUAGUCCUAGCCCUAAACGAUGAGGACUAGGUAGUAGGCUAGACAUGGGCUUACUGCCGAAGCAAAAGUGCUAAGUCCUCCGCCUGGGGAGUAUGGCCGCAAGGCUGAAACUCAAAGGAAUUGACGGGGGCUCACACAAGCGGUGGAGCAUGUGGCUUAAUUCGAGGCUACGCGAAGAACCUUAUCCUGGGCUUGACAUGUGCGAAAGCGCCGGGAAGUAGGACCCGGAAACGGGAACGAACGGUACCCAGCCCGGAACCCGGCACAGGUGCUGCAUGGCUGUCGUCAGCUCGUGUCGUGAGAUGUCGGGUUAAGUCCCAUAACGAGCGAAACCCUUACCUUCAGUUGCUACCCGCAAGGGGCACUCUGGAGGGACUGCCGGUGUCAAACCGGAGGAAGGUGGGGAUGACGUCAAGUCAUCAUGGCCUUUAUGCCCAGGGCUGCACACGUGCUACAAUGGCGUGUACAAAGCGAAGCAACCACGCGAGUGGAAGCCAAUCGCAAAAAACACGCCCCAGUUCAGAUCGGAGGCUGCAACUCGCCUCCGUGAAGACGGAAUCGCUAGUAAUCGCGGGUCAGCAACACCGCGGUGAAUGUGUUCCUGAGCCUUGUACACACCGCCCGUCAAGCCACGAAAGGGAGGGGCGCCCGAAGUCACCUUCACCGGUGCCGAAGGCGAAACUCCUGAUUGGGACUAAGUCGUAACAAGGUAA
rnacentral:rRNA from 1 species